rnacentral:lncRNA from 1 species
CUAUAGGCCAGUUCAGUAUUUUUGCCUUCCAGCGUUCCAUUUAAGACUACCAAUAAACUAUGGGAAGGCAUUGUCUGUGUGUUGUAGGUCAAUCUGGACAAUUUAUGCCUCAAUUUAGUUUUCAUGAUUGGGUGGAUACAUAUUUUAGUAUUUAUUUUUUAGUUUUUUGGUUUUCAGAGAGCAUUUAUUAUGGAGAGCAAGAAAUGAGACUCUUUAGAGUAAAUGUUUUUUCAAGUUUCCUGUAUUUUUGUAAAGCAAAUAGGUAACUUCUAUAAGAAGCAAAGCUAAAUUUGUUAAGUUCUUUGUAAAGGACAUCAGAGCCCUCCUCUACCUGGCAGGGGCAUUUCACAGCUUAGCCAAUUGUUUGCAAUGUGCUCUGACGCCCCAGAUGAAAGGAGCCACUUUCCCGGCCAGCAUUAUUGCCAGUGUGUCUUCAGCUGCCAAGGAGAAGCUGAUUCAGAAUCUGCCUCCAACAUCCAAGACCCGCCUGUGCUUUGUAAGUGGAGCAUCAGUGCUUGUUCAAUUAUUUGGAUAUUGUUCAGCUUGCCUGUGAUCUAAUGAGGUUUAUGUUUAAGAGUGGUGCAUUGGCAAAAGUCGUCUUUUAAAAAGCGCCCCAAAUAGUGUUACAAUCGUCAAUCAGAGGAAGAAUCCGCGGACAAACUAGUGAUUUCCUCAACUUCCUUUUGCUUCGCUUUUUUUGUUUUCUGGAAGAUCAAAUUCAAAUAGCGUUUAUGCUUUCUUUCACUGAAUUAACAAUGGCCGGGAGAAGGUAUUUCAAUCCCCCUAAAGAAAGCUUUUCUAUGAUGACAAACCCGUGCACGUUUAGGGGCUCAUCUGGUGCUUGGCGGAUUUGGGCCGUCAAUCAGAUGUGUAAGUACUGGCUGGUUCCUGUGCUGUGCUGCCGCUGGAGUUGUAUUUAUGGCAAAGGCUAAGGUCACUAUCAAAAGAAACACGGGCUCACUGUCUCUGAGCUCCUCCUCUGAGCAGAAGAAUGUUAAACUAGACAUCUGUCUGCGAAAACAAUCAACUCAACAUGUGCACACUCUCAAAGGAGGAUCUUGUCCUGCCUGUCUCUCAACUUUUGGAAAAUGCUUUUUUCUAAAUGAGCUUUAGAAAUGCAGUCACAAGCCAAACUCUUCACCUUGUGGAGAUUUCUAUAUUCACAUAGAAAACACACUUUUGAAAUGCCACACGUCAUUUAUUAAAAGAAUCCUUCCACAGUAGCAGUAAUUUGUUAAUAAUUACUUAAUGUAAUAUGACUAUAUGAUACUUAUUUUAUUAGAG